rnacentral:misc_RNA from 1 species
GAUGAAGAACGUAGCGAAAUGCGAUAAGUAAUGCGAAUUGCAGAAUUCAGUGAGUCAUCGAAUCUUUGAACGCACAUUGCGCCCUGUGGUAUCCCGAGGGGCAUGCCUGUUCGAGCGUCAUUUCACCACUCAAGCCUGGCUUGGUGUUGGGCGACGUCCCCUUUGGGGACGCGCCUCGAAACGCUCGGCGGCGUGGCACCGGCUUUAAGCGUAGCAGAAUCUUUCGCUUUGGAAGUCGGGGCCCCGUCUGCCGGAAGACCUACUCGCAAGGUUGACCUCGGAUCAGGCAGGGAUACCCGCUGAACUUAAGCAUAUCAAUAAGCGGAGGA